AAGAAAGCUUGCUUUCUUUGCUGGCGACCGGCGCACGGGUGAGUAACACGUAUCCAACCUGCCCUUUACUCGGGGAUAGCCUUUCGAAAGAAAGAUUAAUACCCGAUAGCAUAAUGAUUCCGCAUGGUUUCAUUAUUAAAGGAUUCCGGUAAAGGAUGGGGAUGCGUUCCAUUAGGUUGUUGGUGGGGUAACGGCCCACCAAGCCUUCGAUGGAUAGGGGUUCUGAGAGGAAGGUCCCCCACAUUGGAACUGAGACACGGUCCAAACUCCUACGGGAGGCAGCAGUGAGGAAUAUUGGUCAAUGGGCGCUAGCCUGAACCAGCCAAGUAGCGUGAAGGAUGAAGGCUCUAUGGGUCGUAAACUUCUUUUAUAUAAGAAUAAAGUGCAGUAUGUAUACUGUUUUGUAUGUAUUAUAUGAAUAAGGAUCGGCUAACUCCGUGCCAGCAGCCGCGGUAAUACGGAGGAUCCGAGCGUUAUCCGGAUUUAUUGGGUUUAAAGGGAGCGUAGGUGGACUGGUAAGUCAGUUGUGAAAGUUUGCGGCUCAACCGUAAAAUUGCAGUUGAUACUGU
rnacentral:rRNA from 1 species